rnacentral:rRNA from 1 species
UACGGAGGCAGCGAGCGUUGUUCGGAGUUACUGGGCGUAAAGGGUGUGUAGGCGGUUUUUUAAGUUUGGUGUGAAAUCUCCCGGCUCAACUGGGAGGGUGCGCCGAAUACUGAAUGACUUGGAGUGCGGGAGAGGAAAGUGGAAUUCCUGGUGUAGCGGUGAAAUGCGUAGAUAUCAGGAGGAACACCGGUGGUGUAGACGGCUUUCUGGACCGUAACUGACGCUGAGACACGAAAGCGUGGGUAGCAAACAGG